CAGCUAAAUCAUUCCCAUUUUCUACUUUAUGCUCUGAUACCAUCUUAUCUAUUACGCCCCGUGCCCCGCCUAUUUGGUCUGGUUCGUGCACGCCGACAGACCGCCGAACGGACAGAGUUUUCCCUAUACGUCCUAGGCGUCGCAAUCGAUACAAUGCAUGAGAUUCCAACCAGAAACACAUUUCAAUCAAAGAUUGCAUAAGGAAGUAUCAAAACAUAAAACGACUAAUUAUUACAAGCAUUCACAAACAUGCUUUUUACAUCACAAUUACUUAUUAUUUCCAAAACACAAUCUAAGUUAUUACAUUUAAUAUUACAA
rnacentral:lncRNA from 1 species